UACGGAGGGUGCGAGCGUUAAUCGGAAUUACUGGGCGUAAAGCGCACGUAGGCGGUUUGUUAAGUUGGAUGUGAAAGCCCCGGGCUCAACCUGGGAAUUGCAUUCAAAACUGGCAAGCUAGAGUAUGUGAGAGGGGGGUAGAAUUCCAAGUGUAGCGGUGAAAUGCGUAGAGAUUUGGAGGAAUACCAGUGGCGAAGGCGGCCCCCUGGCACAAUACUGACGCUCAGGUGCGAAAGCGUGGGGAGCAAACAGG
rnacentral:rRNA from 1 species